AGAUUGAACGCUAGCGGGAUGCUUUACACAUGCAAGUCGAACGGCAGCGCGGACUUCGGUCUGGCGGCGAGUGGCGAACGGGUGAGUAAUAUAUCGGAACGUGCCCAGUAGCGGGGGGAUAACUACGCGAAAGCGUGGCUAAUACCGCAUACGCCCUACGGGAGAAAGUGGGGGAUCUUCGGACCUCACGCUAUCAGAUGAGCCUAGGUCGGAUUAGCUAGUUGGUAGGUAAAGGCCUACAAGGCUACGAUCCGUAACUGGUCUGAGAGGAUGAUCAGUCACACUGGAACUGAGACACGGUCCAGACUCCUACGGGAGCAGCAGUGGGAAUAUUGGACAAGUGGGCGAAAGCCUAGAUCCGGCCAUGCCGCGUGUGUGAAGAAGGUCGUUCGGAUUGUAAAGUCGAACUUUAAGGUUGGGAAGGUAAGGACAAGUUAAACCUAAGUAACGUUAGUUAGUUUUUGACGUUUACCGAACGAAGAAUAA
rnacentral:rRNA from 1 species